UACGUAGGGUGCAAGCGUUGUCCGGAAUUAUUGGGCGUAAAGAGCUCGUAGGCGGUCUGUCGCGUCUGCUGUGAAAACCUGGGGCUUAACCCCGGGCCUGCAGUGGGUACGGGCAGACUAGAGUGCGGUAGGGGAGACUGGAAUUCCUGGUGUAGCGGUGAAAUGCGCAGAUAUCAGGAGGAACACCGGUGGCGAAGGCGGGUCUCUGGGCCGUAACUGGACGCUGAGGAACGAAAGCCAGGGGAGCGA
rnacentral:rRNA from 1 species